rnacentral:rRNA from 1 species
UACGGGGGGAGCAAGCGUUGUUCGGAUUUACUGGGCGUAAAGGGCGCGUAGGCGGUCAGCACAAGUCAGUUGUGAAAUCUCCGGGCUUAACCCGGAAAGGUCAACUGAUACUGUGCGACUAGAGUGCGGAAGGGGCAACUGGAAUUCUCGGUGUAGCGGUGAAAUGCGCAGAUAUCAGGAGGAACACCGAUGGCGAAGGCAGGUCUCUGGGCAUUAACUGACGCUGAGGAGCGAAAGCAUGGGGAGCGAACAGG